UUUGGCGAUAAUAGCUUGUAGGAACCACCUGAUCCCAUUCCGAACUCAGAAGUGAAACUACAAUAGCGCCGAUGAUAGUCUGGCAAUGCCCAGUAA
rnacentral:rRNA from 1 species